rnacentral:rRNA from 1 species
GGUUAAGCGACUAAGCGUACACGGUGGAUGCCCUGGCAGUCAGAGGCGAUGAAGGACGUGCUAAUCUGCGAUAAGCGUCGGUAAGGUGAUAUGAACCGUUAUAACCGGCGAUUUCCGAAUGGGGAAACCCAGUGUGAUUCGUCACACUAUCAUUAACUGAAUCCAUAGGUUAAUGAGGCGAACCGGGGGAACUGAAACAUCUAAGUACCCCGAGGAAAAGAAAUCAACCGAGAUUCCCCCAGUAGCGGCGAGCGAACGGGGAGCAGCCCAGAGCCUGAAUCAGUGUGUGUGUUAGUGGAAGCGUCUGGAAAGGCAUGCGAUACAGGGUGACAGCCCCGUACACAAAAAUGCACAUACUGUGAGCUCGAUGAGUAGGGCGGGACACGUGGUAUCCUGUCUGAAUAUGGGGGGACCAUCCUCCAAGGCUAAAUACUCCUGACUGACCGAUAGUGAACCAGUACCGUGAGGGAAAGGCGAAAAGAACCCCGGCGAGGGGAGUGAAAAAGAACCUGAAACCGUGUACGUACAAGCAGUGGGAGCACGCUUAGGCGUGUGACUGCGUACCUUUUGUAUAAUGGGUCAGCGACUUAUAUUCUGUAGCAAGGUUAACCGAAUAGGGGAGCCGAAGGGAAACCGAGUCUUAACUGGGCGUUAAGUUGCAGGGUAUAGACCCGAAACCCGGUGAUCUAGCCAUGGGCAGGUUGAAGGUUGGGUAACACUAACUGGAGGACCGAACCGACUAAUGUUGAAAAAUUAGCGGAUGACUUGUGGCUGGGGGUGAAAGGCCAAUCAAACCGGGAGAUAGCUGGUUCUCCCCGAAAGCUAUUUAGGUAGCGCCUCGUGAAUUCAUCUCCGGGGGUAGAGCACUGUUUCGGCAAGGGGGUCAUCCCGACUUACCAACCCGAUGCAAACUGCGAAUACCGGAGAAUGUUAUCACGGGAGACACACGGCGGGUGCUAACGUCCGUCGUGAAGAGGGAAACAACCCAGACCGCCAGCUAAGGUCCCAAAGUCAUGGUUAAGUGGGAAACGAUGUGGGAAGGCCCAGACAGCCAGGAUGUUGGCUUAGAAGCAGCCAUCAUUUAAAGAAAGCGUAAUAGCUCACUGGUCGAGUCGGCCUGCGCGGAAGAUGUAACGGGGCUAAACCAUGCACCGAAGCUGCGGCAGCGACACUAUGUGUUGUUGGGUAGGGGAGCGUUCUGUAAGCCUGUGAAGGUGUACUGUGAGGUAUGCUGGAGGUAUCAGAAGUGCGAAUGCUGACAUAAGUAACGAUAAAGCGGGUGAAAAGCCCGCUCGCCGGAAGACCAAGGGUUCCUGUCCAACGUUAAUCGGGGCAGGGUGAGUCGACCCCUAAGGCGAGGCCGAAAGGCGUAGUCGAUGGGAAACAGGUUAAUAUUCCUGUACUUGGUGUUACUGCGAAGGGGGGACGGAGAAGGCUAUGUUGGCCGGGCGACGGUUGUCCCGGUUUAAGCGUGUAGGCUGGUUUUCCAGGCAAAUCCGGAAAAUCAAGGCUGAGGCGUGAUGACGAGGCACUACGGUGCUGAAGCAACAAAUGCCCUGCUUCCAGGAAAAGCCUCUAAGCAUCAGGUAACAUCAAAUCGUACCCCAAACCGACACAGGUGGUCAGGUAGAGAAUACCAAGGCGCUUGAGAGAACUCGGGUGAAGGAACUAGGCAAAAUGGUGCCGUAACUUCGGGAGAAGGCACGCUGAUAUGUAGGUGAAGCGACUUGCUCGUGGAGCUGAAAUCAGUCGAAGAUACCAGCUGGCUGCAACUGUUUAUUAAAAACACAGCACUGUGCAAACACGAAAGUGGACGUAUACGGUGUGACGCCUGCCCGGUGCCGGAAGGUUAAUUGAUGGGGUUAGCCGCAAGGCGAAGCUCUUGAUCGAAGCCCCGGUAAACGGCGGCCGUAACUAUAACGGUCCUAAGGUAGCGAAAUUCCUUGUCGGGUAAGUUCCGACCUGCACGAAUGGCGUAAUGAUGGCCAGGCUGUCUCCACCCGAGACUCAGUGAAAUUGAACUCGCUGUGAAGAUGCAGUGUACCCGCGGCAAGACGGAAAGACCCCGUGAACCUUUACUAUAGCUUGACACUGAACAUUGAGCCUUGAUGUGUAGGAUAGGUGGGAGGCUUUGAAGUGUGGACGCCAGUCUGCAUGGAGCCGACCUUGAAAUACCACCCUUUAAUGUUUGAUGUUCUAACGUUGACCCGUAAUCCGGGUUGCGGACAGUGUCUGGUGGGUAGUUUGACUGGGGCGGUCUCCUCCUAAAGAGUAACGGAGGAGCACGAAGGUUGGCUAAUCCUGGUCGGACAUCAGGAGGUUAGUGCAAUGGCAUAAGCCAGCUUGACUGCGAGCGUGACGGCGCGAGCAGGUGCGAAAGCAGGUCAUAGUGAUCCGGUGGUUCUGAAUGGAAGGGCCAUCGCUCAACGGAUAAAAGGUACUCCGGGGAUAACAGGCUGAUACCGCCCAAGAGUUCAUAUCGACGGCGGUGUUUGGCACCUCGAUGUCGGCUCAUCACAUCCUGGGGCUGAAGUAGGUCCCAAGGGUAUGGCUGUUCGCCAUUUAAAGUGGUACGCGAGCUGGGUUUAGAACGUCGUGAGACAGUUCGGUCCCUAUCUGCCGUGGGCGCUGGAGAACUGAGGGGGGCUGCUCCUAGUACGAGAGGACCGGAGUGGACGCAUCACUGGUGUUCGGGUUGUCAUGCCAAUGGCACUGCCCGGUAGCUAAAUGCGGAAGAGAUAAGUGCUGAAAGCAUCUAAGCACGAAACUUGCCCCGAGAUGAGUUCUCCCUGACUCCUUGAGAGUCCUGAAGGAACGUUGAAGACGACGACGUUGAUAGGCCGGGUGUGUAAGCGCAGCGAUGCGUUGAGCUAACCGGUACUAAUGAACCGUGAGGCUUAACCUU